rnacentral:rRNA from 1 species
GCAUAACGCGAAGAACCUUACCCACCUUUGACAUGUACGGAAUCCUUUAGAGAUAGAGGAGUGCUCGAAAGAGAGCCGUAACACAGGUGCUGCAUGGCUGUCGUCAGCUCGUGUCGUGAGAUGUUGGGUUAAGUCCCGCAACGAGCGCAACCCUUGCCAUUAGUUGCUACAUUUAGUUGAGCACUCUAAUGGGACUGCCGGUGACAAACCGGAGGAGGGUGGGGAUGACGUCAAGUCCUCAUGGCCCUUAUAGGUGGGGCUACACACGUCAUACAAUGGCUGGUACAAAGGGUUGCCAACCCGCGAGGGGGAGCUAAUCCCAUAAAGCCAGUCGUAGUCCGGAUCGCAGUCUGCAACUCGACUGCGUGAAGUCGGAAUCGCUAGUAAUCGUGGAUCAGAAUGUCGCGGUGAAUACGUUCCCGGGUC